UGAAUAAAGCCAAAACGAUUACACACUCCGAAAAGCUAGGCACGGAAGCUGCAUUGGCCAUGCUAAAGCACACAGUAAUUCGCAAAACUCUAAUCAAACCAACCAUUAAAGAACACACUGAUAGACCCAAAAAGCUGAUGGGAACCAAAGCUUAGCCAAAGCACUACACCUCAAAAACAGAUACCUGCUAGAACAUCCACUGGUAUGAUACGCAUCCCUUCAAAAUGAUACACAUAUCUGCACUUAGCACAACUUCUGAUAGUUCUACAAACACAGCUGAAGCAGGAAAAGCAGUCCAACAACACAGCUUCUGAUAGUUCUAAAAACAGUGGAACAUUACAUACACCUAAGCAAGCACAAUCAAAACCUACUGACACAGGUGCUAGCGAAACGGCCUCUUACCCCGCUAAAUAGUGGAUAGGAUCCCAAGACCACUAAUAAGUUUAUUUUUGAACAAGCCCCAAGACCACUAAUAAGUGACAAGAAUGUUAUGCCAAAUUCCUUAAAUACCAACUCCACGAUGUAACCUUAACGAGUAAAUUGGUUACUUAUUUCUAUUAGUUUAUAUAUCAAUAUGGCAGCAGAAUUAGAGUUUGUGUAGAAAUUAUGUUCCAAUAGAAAAUCAGGUGUUUCCUAAUAUGCACCAAAUUCUACUACUCUUGGUAACCUAAGCUAUGAGCUGUAAUCAGCAUUUUGCUUCAAUCCAAAUCUACAUUAUGUGAAGAUGUCAUCUCAAUUGAUUUGCAAUAAUAAGAAAAAACAAUAUUGCAAAUCAUAUCUAAGUAAAACUAGAACUUGCUACAAUAUUUUGGAUGGUUUGUCCAAGAUAAAUUAGUUUACAAUGAUGAUACUUGUCCAAUCAUAUAAGUUAAAUUAACAAAGAGAUGACAACUAUUGCAAUUGGUUAUGCAUCCACAAUUAGUAGUUUAAGAAAUUAGUAUAAGAAACAUUUAUAACUUGAAAACUUCUAGUUCGUAAUUAUCAAUUAUGCACCUCUGUGACGCACACCUCGGGCCGGGUGGAUCAAUCUGAGCUAGGUUAUGAAGAUGAUGAAAACGAUGAUGAUGCACCUGUGUGAUGCACACCUCUAUGAUGUAAGUCACGAAUUCAAAACACUCUUAGAAUUGGGUAUUGGGCCUAACUCAACCAAUGACCCAAUCAAAAAUUGAUAGCAGGCGGCCUAGCUGACCGUGGAGGAGGCUCUGUUACCAUCUUAGGAUUGAGAGUUGGGACUAA
rnacentral:lncRNA from 1 species